UUGGCCCUGAAUCAAGGCUAGCAGUUUGUUGAAACUGGUGAUUUGAGCAGGUACCUAAAUGUCUUUCUAUAGUCUGUUGGCCAUUUCAGAACUUUGGAAAUUUAAUCAUCAAUUCAUUUGAAAGAAACAUCU
rnacentral:snoRNA from 1 species